UACGAAGGGUGCAAGCGUUAAUCGGAAUUACUGGGCGUAAAACGCGCGUAGGUGGUUCAGUAAGUUGGAAGUGAAAUCCCCGGGCUCAACCUGGGAACUGCUUUCAAAACUGCUGAGCUAGAGUACGGUAGAGGGUGGUGGAAUUUCCUGUGUAGCGGUGAAAUGCGUAGAUAUAGGAAGGAACACCAGUGGCGAAGGCGACCACCUGGACUGAUACUGACACUGAGGUGCGAAAGCGUGGGGAGCAAACAGG
rnacentral:rRNA from 1 species